UUCAGUACUGUGCAAAAGUUUUAGGCAGGUGUGAAAAAAUGCUGUAAACUAAGAAUGCUUUCAAAAAUAUAAAUAAUGAUUGUUUAUUUUUAUCAAUUUACAAAAUGCAAAGUGAGCGAACAAAAGAAAAAUCAAAAUCACAUCAAUAUUUGGUGUUACUACCCUUUGCCUUCAAACCAGCAUCAAUUCUUAUAGGUACACUUGCAAAAAGUCAGGGAUUUUGUAGGAUUGUAGUCAGGUGUAUGAUCAACCAAUUAUACCAAACAGG